CUCUCGAUCUGUCAAAGUUCGUGAGCCGUCGAGGACGACAUUCCGUGCGUUUGUUCCGUCGGUGAAAGUUUGGGACUUUUUUCGUGUCUUGCAAUUUGCGGGAGGAGAUUAUUGGGAACCUGUGUUUAGUGAACUUUGUGAAUUUUUGGUGAAAAGAAACAGUUUUUGGUGAUACUUUUUUUCCCUGAAAGGACUUUAAAAUCGCUCCUGUAGGCUUACGACAAGGACAACAACGGAACCAACCAUUUAUUUAAGAAAGGAAACAUAUUGGAAAAUAAUCAUUUUCAGUAAGGUAA